rnacentral:lncRNA from 1 species
ACACUAAACCGACAGUUCAAAUUUUCCAACCAGGCGUUUUUUAACAGAGUAUCAGAGCCAGUUUGAAUCUCCUGCCGUUCUAUAUGCAUAAACUGUUUUCUAUCAGAUUGAUCUUUUGGGUAACAAUAUCAAAUGAACCCAGUCGGUAGAUUUUUUGCCUUUUAGAUAUCUGAUGCGUACAAAUUAGGUAAAAACGUAUGAAACUUAUCUUACCUAACCAUUUUGAUUCGGCUAUCCAAUCUUUUAAAAUUUAGAUUUUACUGCAUCACCUUUCAAUUUGUCUGAUUUGAGCUGGUCAACGGUACUUUGACUUCAAAAUUUGAGUGCGUUGUUUAUUUUUACAGGCUUAGUUAGUAUAUUUUACGUAAUUAGAUUAAAUUUCAGAGUUAAAAUAUUAUUGAUUGAUUCAAAUCGAACAUAUCGAAAAGUUGGAUAGUAAAAUUAAAAUUUUAAAAUAUUGGGUAAAUGAAUCAAAAAGGUUUAUAGACCAGAUAAGUUU